CAUUUAUUUUUGCCGUAGGGUGAAGCUGGUGCAUAGCAGUGAGACUCCACAAUAUUCAAGGGUGAAGCUGGUGCAUAGCAGUGAGACUCAAGAUUCAAGGAAGUUGAAAAAAGUGAGAAGAACCUCAUCUUGAUAGAAAAGCUCAUGCAGACGACUUUUGCCCUUCGUUGCCAGGAGAUCGUUCAGGAAAAUCCCUUGGUCGGGGACUUUUUAGAGAAAUGGCUGGCCCUCCGGAUGGAAUCACAGGUUUGUGCCGAGUUUCACCGAAUCACAAACGUCAACCUACGGAACCAGUUAUUUUCUGAACUAGACGGACACACCCUGAGGCCCUGCGUGAAAUCCUAAGGAUUUGUGAUUGUUGUGGAAAUAAUUAUCAUAAGACGCCAAUUAGUAACAUACAGGACAAACCUUGAUGUCUGUUUACCUUCUUUAAGGACACAGGCGGCUUAGCCAAUAAUGUUAUUGUUCCCAUUCUGUGACCGG